ensembl:lncRNA
CCUGUAUUUCAGAAAAAGUCAUUGUACUGUCGAAAACUAUAAGUUCAAGAGGAGACACGAUGGGGUUUACAUCAAAUUUGCUGAUACUUUCACGUAAGUAAGACAUUGAUAUAAUUUUACGGACGCAUUGGCCCCAGAGGUGGAGCUGUAAAGGAUUGUGGUGGAUGCCUGGCUUCCCAGAGUCAUGUACCACUAGGUAGAAAAGUGCUUUGCAAGGGUCUCAGGAAAAGAGUUUUGUGCAAUAACCCUUAUGUUCUUUACAAAUAGAGGCCAUAUUGCUUGUUACUGUACCAGCUACUGGGGAAUCGUCUACAGAAACCCCAACUACUGCUGGAACCACAACAACCUCUGAAACAACAACAACUUCUCCUGAAACGACAACAACUACUGCUGGAACAACAACAACUACUGCUGGAACAACAACAACGUCUCCUGGAACAACAACAACGUCUGCUGGAACAACAACAACGUCUCCUGAAACGACAACAACUACCGCUGGAACAACAACAACGUCUGCUGGAACGACAACAACGUCUCCUGAAACAACAACAACUACUGCUGCUGGAACAACAACGACUACUCCUGAAACAACAACAACUUCUCCUGAAACAACAACUACUGCUGUAACAACAACAACUUCUCCUGAAACGACAACAACUACUGCUGGAACGACAACAACGUCUGCUGGAACAACAACAACGUCUCCUGGAACAACAACAACGUCUCCUGAAACAACAACAGCGUCUGCUGGAACAACAACAACUACUGCUGGAACAACAACAACUUCUCCUGAAACAACAACAACUACUCCUGAAACAACAACAACUACUGCUGUAACAACAACAACUUCUCCUCAAACAACAACAACUUCUCCUGAAACAACAACAACUACUGCUGGAAUGACAACAACAUCUGCUGUAACAACAACAACGUCUCCUGGAACAACAACAACGUCUCCUGAAACAACAACAACUACUGCUGUAACAACAACAACUUCUCCUGAAACGACAACAGCGUCUGCUGGAACAACAACAACUACUGCUGGAACAACAACAAGUACUCCUGAAACAACAACAACUACUGCUGCUGGAACAACAACGACUACUCCUGAAACAACAACAACUUCUCCUGAAACAACAACAACAACUACUGCUGUAACAACAACAACUUCUCCUGAAACAACAACAACUUCUCCUGAAACAACAACAACUACUGCUGGAAUGACAACAACAUCUGCUGGAACAACAACAACGUCUCCUGGAACAACAACAACGUCUCCUGAAACAACAACAACGUCUCCUGAAACAACAACAACGUCUCCUGAAACGACAACAACUACCGCUGGAACAACAACAACGUCUGCUGGAACGACAACAACGUCUCCUGAAACAACAACAACUACUGCUGCUGGAACAACAACGACUACUCCUGAAACAACAACAACUUCUCCUGAAACAACAACUACUGCUGUAACAACAACAACUUCUCCUGAAACGACAACAACUACUGCUGGAACGACAACAACGUCUGCUGUAACAACAACAACGUCUCCUGGAACAACAACAACGUCUCCUGAAACAACAACAGCGUCUGCUGGAACAACAACAACUACUGCUGGAACAACAACAACUUCUCCUGAAACAACAACAACUACUCCUGAAACAACAACAACUACUGCUGUAACAACAACAACUUCUCCUCAAACAACAACAACUUCUCCUGAAACAACAACAACUACUGCUGGAAUGACAACAACAUCUGCUGGAACAACAACAACGUCUCCUGGAACAACAACAACGUCUCCUGAAACAACAACAACUACUGCUGUAACAACAACAACUUCUCCUGAAACGACAACAGCGUCUGCUGGAACAACAACAACUACUGCUGGAACAACAACAAGUACUCCUGAAACAACAACAACUACUGCUGCUGGAACAACAACGACUACUCCUGAAACAACAACAACUUCUCCUGAAACAACAACAACAACUACUGCUGUAACAACAACAACUUCUCCUGAAACAACAACAACUUCUCCUGAAACAACAACAACUACUGCUGGAAUGACAACAACAUCUGCUGGAACAACAACAACGUCUCCUGGAACAACAACAACGUCUCCUGAAACAACAACAACGUCUCCUGAAACAACAACAACGUCUGCUGGAACAACAACGACAACUGCUGGAACAACAACAACUUCACCUGAAACAACAACAACAACUACAACCGCAGGGACCACAACAACUACAACGGCAGGAACCACAACAACCGGUGCAGGAACUACAACAACUGCAACAGGAACCACAACAACCAAUGCAGGAACCACAACAACUGCUGCAGGAACUACAACAACUGCUGCAGGAACUACAACAACUGCGGCAGGAACAACAACAACUGCAGCAGGAACAACAACAACUACAACGGCAGUAACCACAACAACCGGUGCAGGAACCACAGCAACUGCAGCAGGAACCACAACAACCGGUGCAGGGACCACAACAACUUCUGCAGGAACUACAACAACUGCAGCAGGAACCACAACAACCGGUGCAGGAACCACAACAACUGCUGCAGGAACCAAAACAACUGCUGCAGGAACCACAACAACCGGUGCAGAAACCACAACAACUGCUGCAGGAACCACAACAACUGCUGCAGGAACCACAACAACUGCUGCAGGAACCACAACAACUGCUGCAGGAACCACAACAACUGCUGCAGGUACCACAACAACUGCAGUAGGAACCACAACAACCGGUGCAGGAACCACAACAACUGCUGCAGGAACCACAACAACUGCAGAAGGAACUACAACAACUGGUGCAGAAACCACAACAACUGGGGCAGUAACCACACCAACUGGGGCAGUAACCACACCAACUGGUGCAGAAACCACAACAACUGCGGCAGGAACCACAACAACUGCAGCAGGAACCACAACAACUGCAGCAGGAACCACAACAACUGCUGCAGGAACCACACCAACCGGUGCAGAAACCACAACAACUGCGGCAGGAACCACAACAACUGGGGCAGGAACCACAGCAACUGGGGCAGGAACCACAACAACUGGUUCAGAAACCACAACAACUGCGGCAGGAACCACAACAACCGGUGCAGGAACCACAGCAACUGGGGCAGGAACCACAACAACUGGGGCAGGAACCACAACAACCGGUGCAGGAACCACAACAACUGCUGCAGGAACCACAACAACUGCAGCAGGAACCACAACAACUGCAGCAGGAACCACAACAACUGCAGCAGGAACCACAACAACUGCAGCAGGAACCACAGCAACUGGUGCAGGAACCACAACAACCGGUGCAGGAACCACAGCAACCGGUUCAGGAACCACAACAACCGGUGCAGGAACCACAACAACCGGUGCAGGAACCACAACAACUGCAGCAGGAACCACAACAACUGCUCCAGGAACAAUAGCUACUACUGCUCAGCCACUCACUUCCAAUAAUUUCACUUUUAAAACCGAUGAGAUUUUUACCUCCGACUUACUGAAUUCAUCAUCUCCAGGAUAUAAAGCUCGAUCCAAAAAAGUGAACAACACUUUUGACCCUUUCUUCAGAGCGAAAUUUCCCCAAUCAUAUCAUGGUCUGAAUGUGACUGGAUACGGAAAAGGAUCCAUAAUCAACAAUGUGACGGCGUUUUUCUUGUCUACAAAUGCUCCCAGUGAUGAUCAAAUUCAAACCUUUCUGAUUGAUAUAGCUAAAAACAUCACAGACUUUAACAUCACUGCAAUUUUCUUCAAUGGCACCCAAGUAUCAAGUGGAGUAAGCUACCAGACCAGUCUCGUCACUGCAUCCUUCAUGAUGCUGCUGUCAUGGUUGCUAUCAAACCAGCAAUAG